UACGUAGGGUGCAGGCGUUAAUCGGAAUUACUGGGCGUAAAGCGUGCGCAGGCGGUCUCUUAAGACAGGUGUGAAAUCCCCGAGCUUAACUUGGGAACUGCGCUUGUAACUGAGAGGCUAGAGUGUGGCAGAGGGGGGUGGAAUUCCACGUGUAGCAGUGAAAUGCGUAGAGAUGUGGAGGAACACCGAUGGCGAAGGCAGCCCCCUGGGCUAACACUGACGCUGAGGCGCGAAAGCGUGGGGAGCAAACAGG
rnacentral:rRNA from 1 species